rnacentral:siRNA from 1 species
AAAUAGUCUGAGGAAUGUUAGUAA